AUGACCGAAGAAGAAACAUGUGAAGGUGGCCAUGUUGGUCUAGCUGCAGCAGCAAGGGCGAUGGAGGUGGGGCGGCGUCAGGAGGCGCAAUGCAGAGGAGGCCGAUGGGGCAUGGAGGAGCGGCACGAGACGAGCAAGCAGCGAACAGUACAGGGGUUGCAGAGAGGCGAGGUGGAGGAGGAGCUGGCAGCGCUGGCCUUGCCGAUGCCGGCAGCAGGCCGCUACGAUGGCUGGCGCGCGAGAAGAGCCUUGAUAAGUGGGAAAAUAAUUAUUGGCAAGGUUAGAGAGUGA
rnacentral:rRNA from 1 species